UACGGAGGGGGCUAGCGUUGUUCGGAAUUACUGGGCGUAAAGCGCACGUAGGCGGCUUUGUAAGUUAGAGGUGAAAGCCCGGGGCUCAACUCCGGAAUUGCCUUUAAGACUGCAUCGCUAGAAUUGUGGAGAGGUAAGUGGAAUUCCGAGUGUAGAGGUGAAAUUCGUAGAUAUUCGGAGGAACACCAGCGGCGAAGGCGGUGCUCUGGGCCGGAACUGACACUGAGGAGCGAAAGCGUGGGUAGCAAACAGG
rnacentral:rRNA from 1 species